UGCAAGUCGAACGCAGUAGCAAUACUGAGUGGCAGACGGGUGAGUAACAUGAGGGAAUCUGCCUUGUGGUUCAGGACAACAUUGGGAAACCGAUGCUAAUACUGGAUAAGCCCUUACGGGGAAAGUUUUAAUGCCGUAAGAUGAGCCCGCAUUUGAUUAGUUAGUUGGUGAGGUAAUGGCUCACCAAGACAAUGAUCAAUAGCUGAUCUGAGAGGAUGAUCAGCCACACUGGGACUGAGACACGGCCCAGACUCCUACGGGAGGCAGCAGUGGGGAAUCUUGCACAAUGGAGGAAACUCUGAUGCAGCGAUGCCGCGUGAGUGAAGAAGGCCUUUGGGUUGUAAAGCUCUUUUGUAGGGGAAGAUAAUGACUGUACCCUAAGAAUAAGGUCCGGCUAACUUCGUGCCAGCAGCCGCGGUAAUACGAAGGGACCUAGCGUAGUUCGGAAUUACUGGGCGUAAAGCGCGCGUAGGCCGUUGAGUUAGUUAAUUGUGGAAUCCCAAAGCUUAACUUUGGAACUGCAAUUAAAACUGCUCGACUAGAGUUUGAUAGAGGAAAGCGGAAUACAUAGUGUAUAGGUGAAAUUCGUAGAUAUUAUGUAGAACACCAGUUGCGAAGGCGGCUUUCUGGAUCAACACUGACGCUGAGGCGCGAAAGUAUGGGUAGCAAAGAGGAUUAGAUACCCUCGUAGUCCAUACCAUAAACGAUGAUUGCUAGAUGUUGGAAAUUUAUUUUCAGUAUCGCAGCUAACGCAUUAAGCACUCCGCCUGGGGAGUACGACCGCAAGGUUAAAACUCAUAUGAAUUGACGGGGACCCGCACAAGCGGUGGAGCAUGUGGUUUAAUUCGAAUAUACGCGCACAACCUUACCUGCCCUUGACAUGUCUGUCGCGAGUUUAGGAUACUAGACUUUUCGGUUCGGCCGGACAGAACACAGGUGCUGCAUGGC
rnacentral:rRNA from 1 species